rnacentral:rRNA from 1 species
UACGUAGGGGGCAAGCGUUGUCCGGAUUUAUUGGGCGUAAAGAGCGUGUAGGCGGCCAAGCAGGUCCGCUGUGAAAACUCGAGGCUCAACCUCGAGACGUCGGUGGAAACCGUUUGGCUAGAGUCCGGAAGAGGAGAGUGGAAUUCCCGGUGUAGCGGUGAAAUGCGCAGAUAUCGGGAAGAACACCCGUGGCGAAGGCGGCUCUCUGGGGACGGUACUGACGCUGAGACGCGAAAGCGUGGGGAGCGAACAGG